UACAGAGGGUGCGAGCGUUGUUCGGAAUUAUUGGGCGUAAAGGGCGCGUAGGCGGUGCGGUAAGUCUGCAGUGAAAUCUCUGGGCUCAACUCAGAGUCUGCUGUAGAAACUGCCGUGCUUGAGUGUGGGAGAGGUGAGUGGAAAUUCCCGGUGUAGCGGUGAAAUGCGUAGAGAUCGGGAGGAACACCAGUGGCGAAGGCGGCUACCUGGACCAGCACGUGACACUGAGGCACGAAAGCGUGGGGAGCAAACAGG
rnacentral:rRNA from 1 species